rnacentral:rRNA from 1 species
AUGAGUCGACCUGAUGGGAUCAACAUCCCCGACGGCAAAUUCUACCUUGGAGAUGCUGGCUAUGCAUGUCGGCUGGGUAUUCUUCCACCCUUCAGGAAAACCAGGUAUCAUCUCAACGAGUUCUCUGGUAGGAACUAUCCUAGGACUGCACAUGAACUGUUUAAUAUCAGGCACUCCAGCCUUAGAGUAACUGUUGAGAGGGCAUUUGGAGAUCUGAAGAAUAGGUUUAAGAUAGUGGAUUAG